rnacentral:ncRNA from 1 species
CACCGCCCGUCGCUACUACCGAUUGAAUGGUUUAGUGAGGUCGUUGGAUUGGUGUCGUUGUAGUGGCGUUGCCGCUCGACUGAUGCUGAGAAGAUGACCUAAUUUGAUGAAUUUAGAGGAAGUAAAAGUCGUAACAAGGUUUCCGUAGGUGAACCUGCGGAAA